rfam:Pelodiscus sinensis unplaced genomic scaffold scaffold136, whole genome shotgun sequence.
ACUAAGGCCCUCUUCAGGGCCACCUAAUUUAGCACUGAGAAAGGGA